rnacentral:rRNA from 1 species
GAUGAACGCUGGCGGCGUGCCUAAUACAUGCAAGUCGAGCGAACGGACGAGAAGCUUGCUUUUCUGAUGUUAGCGGCGGACGGGUGAGUAACACGUGGAUAACCUACCUAUAAGACUGGGAUAACUUCGGGAAACCGGAGCUAAUACCGGAUAAUAUUUUGAACCGCAUGGUUCAAAAGUGAAAGACGGUCUUGCUGUCACUAAUAGAUGGAUCCGCGCUGCAUUAGCUAGUUGGUAAGGUAACGGCUUACCAAGGCAACGAUGCAUAGCCGACCUGAGAGGAUGAUCGGCCACACUGGAACUGAGACACGGUCCAGACUCCUACGGGAGGCAGCAGUAGGGAAUCUUGGGCAAUGGGCGAAAGCCUGACGCAGCAACGCCGCGUGAGUGAUGAAGGUCUUCGGAUCGUAAAACUCUGUUAUUAGGGAAGAACAUAUGUGUAAGUAACUGUGCACAUCUUGACGGUACCUAAUCAAAAAGCCACGGCUAACUACGUG